rnacentral:rRNA from 1 species
GCGGUGGAGCAUGUGGUUAAUUCGAAGCAACGCGAAGAACCUACCAGGUCUUGACAUGCAGAGAACUUUCCAGAGAUGGAUUGGUGCCGUUCGGGAACUCUGACACAGGUGCUGCAUGGCUGUCGUCAGCUCGUGCCGUGAGGUGUUAGGUUAAGUCCUGUAACGAGCGCAACCCCUGCCGUUAGUUACAUGUGUCUAACGGGACUGCCCGGCUCAACGUGGGAGGAAGGUGGGGACGACGUCAAGUCAGCAUGGCCUUUAUAUCCUGGGCUACACACACGCUACAAUGGUCGGUACAAUGGGUCGCCAAGCCGCGAGGCGGAGCCAAUCCUCCAAAACCGGCCUCAGUUCAGAUUGUAGGCUGCAACUCGCCUGCAUGAAGUUGGAGUUGCUAGUAACCGCGCGUCAGCUAUAGUGCGGUGAAUACGUUCCCGGGGCUU